UACGGGGGGGGCAAGCGUUGUUCGGAAUUACUGGGCGUAAAGGGCGUCGUAGGUGGCCAACUAAGUCAGACGUGAAAUCCCUCGGCUUAACCGGGGAACUGCGUCUGAUACUGGAUGGCUUGAGUUCGGGGAGAGGGAUGCGGAAUUCCAGGUGUAGCGGUGAAAUGCGUAGAUAUCUGGAGGAACACCGGUGGCGAAGGCGGCGAUCCUGGACCGAUACUGACGCUGAGGAGCGAAAGCCAGGGGAGCAAACGGG
rnacentral:rRNA from 1 species